AUGGUUGACCAGGGAGAGGGUGUGAUCCCUACAGCAGCAUCUCAGAGUCCUGGGGCAGGGAUGUCACGAGCAGGGCAGCUCUUCUCUGCUGUGGGGAUGACACAUCAUAUACUCUCAGGCAAGGUGAAAACUGGAAAGAUGAAAACACUAGACUAUGCUUGACCUGAACCUCUAUGAAGCCUUGGAAGUGUUUAGGUAAGAUGCCCACAACAUGGUGCAAUGAAGCACCCCACAGCCCAGGUAAGGGAUGAGUGGUGGGGCAGAAUAGAAUUGAGGUUAUUCUUAUCACAGAAAUUAUUAAUUAGAGAACUUGAGUUCGUUGGUGCUUGAUUUGUUUGCAAAUUUCCAUGAUGUCAGACAACUAAGUAGGGCUUACAGGAUUACUAUAUUCUCUACUUUUUUUUUUUUUUUUUACUGAGGAGAUUCGCCCUGAGCUAACAUCUGUUGCCGACCUUCCUCUAUUUUGUAGGUGAGUAGCUACCACAGCAUGGCUGCCAACAAGUGGUGCAGGUCCAUGACCAGGAACCAAACCCAGGUCACCGAAGUGGAGUGCACCAAACUUAACCUCUAGGCUAUGGGGCCAGCCCUAUAUUCUCUACUUUUAACACUCAUAUAUAAAAAGCACCAUUACUCAAUGACCAAAGAGAAAACUUCCAAAAAUCCUCUCAUGCAGUGAAGGCCUAAAGAGCCUUUCAUGUUUUUGUGAUGAAUUCCAUGACUACAGCAAGUCAAAAUCCUUUGUUUAAAGAGCCCUUCAGACAUGAGAGCCCCUGUGGGGUAGUGGCUCAGGACAUGGCUUUGGAGCUAUAUUGCCAGACUUGAAAUCCUAGCUCUUCUACAUAGUUAGUUAUGUGACUCAGGCAAAUCGUUUAACCUCUCAGUGCCUCCAUUUUCUUAUCUAUAAAAUAGGGAUGAUGAUAAUGUACAACCUCACAAGUAUUUAUAACAGUGCUGAACUUGGAAGAGUGUAUGAAAUUGGAAGCACACAGUAAGUACUUACUAAGAAUUAGUUAUAAUAUCUAAAUGGGCAUUUAAACAUUAUGUGAGGAGAAAAAAUUGGAAAAAAUAGUCUCUAGGUUCUGAAGUCUUAUUGGAGGAUGACAAACUACAUUUGAAAAUGGUUUUUAAAAAGUAAAAAACAAAAUCUUACGCAGAUGAAAGA
rnacentral:lncRNA from 1 species